ensembl:lncRNA novel transcript
CAGUUAGUCUGGUCGAAUAAGAGGAUAAAUGCUACAUGGAAGUGCUUGUCACUUAUGAACCCCAACGCAAGUCUCAUUUCAUUGUUCCGCAAGCCAUUUAUGAACGUGCCUGUGGGCAGCAGUAAGAAAAGAAAAAUUGAAGCAUGAGAGAUGAGCAUUGCUGUCAAGUCCCCACAGCUGCCACAGAAACGCAUGUGCUGCUUUCCAUCAUCCCUUGCAUUCAAAAUGCUACUGAUGCAUAGCACCUAAUCAAGUCCCCAGGCUGCAGUUCCACUCGGAGGAAGCUACGUCACCUCCAUCGCUACUGUGUUGUCUGCUAUGUUGUUCAGUGCUGGCUUUUCUGAUUCAUGAUUUUCCCUGUUGAAAUAAAGUUCAAUCAAUUACUUAUCUACAACAUAAAUAUUCAGCAAAUGAACAUUAUCUUCCCAACAAAAAGUUUAUUUUUAUUAACAGGAAGAAAUUGGACUCUUUGGGAACAAGCUAGCAAGUAGAGGAAUACGAAUCUUUAUAGUUUAUUAUCAGAAAUCAGGCUAAUGUUGACUAUAAAUAAAUUCCACAGUCAACUACAUUACCAUCAAAAUUAUAGUAGUACUCAAGCAACCUAGAUGUUAAAAACAAAGAAUUCCCAUGUUUUAGUAAUUGUUGUUUCAAGUUCCUUCUCUAUUAAACCUUUCAAAAGAGUUUUUAAAAAGGAAA